CUACGGGAGGCAGCAGUGGGGAAUAUUGCACAAUGGGGGAAACCCUGAUGCAGCGACGCCGCGUGCGGGAUGAAGGCCUUCGGGUUGUAAACCGCUUUCAGCAGGGGCGAAUUCAGACGGUACCUGCAGAAGAAGCGCCGGCUAACUACGUGCCAGCAGCCGCGGUAAUACGUAGGGCGCAAGCGUUGUCCGGAAUUAUUGGGCGUAAAGAGCUCGUAGGCGGCCUGUUGCGUCCGCUGUGAAAACCCGGGGCUUAACCCCGGGCCUGCAGUGGAUACGGGCAGGCUGGAGGCAGGCAGGGGAGAACGGAAUUCCCGGUGUAGCGGUGAAAUGCGCAGAUAUCGGGAGGAACACCGGUGGCGAAGGCGGUUCUCUGGGCCUGUACUGACGCUGAGGAGCGAAAGCGUGGGGAGCGAACAGGAUUAGAUACCCCGGUAGC
rnacentral:rRNA from 1 species